AAGGAACUCGGCAAAAUUGCCCCGUAGCUUCGGGAGAAGGUGUGCUCUUUAGGGUUAACGCCCAUAAGAGCCGCAGUGAAUAUGCCCAAGCGACUGUUUAUCAAAAACACAGGUCUCUGCUAAACCGUAAGGUGAUGUAUAGGGUCUGACGCCUGCCCUGUGCUGGAAGGUUAAGAGGAGUGGUUAGCUUCUGCGAAGCUACGAAUCGAAGCCCCAGUAAACGGCGGCCGUAACUAUAACGGUCCUAAGGUAUCGAAAUUCCUUGUCGGGUAAGUUCCGACCCGCACGAAAGGCGGAACGAUUUGGGCACUGUCUCAACGAGAGACUCGGCGAAAUCAUAGGACCUGGGAAGAGGCAGGUGAGCCGCGCCAGGACGGAAAGAACCCCGGGCG
rnacentral:rRNA from 1 species